CCUACGGGUGGCAGCAGUGGGGAAUAUUGGACAAUGGGCGAAAGCCUGAUCCAGCCAUGCCGCGUGUGUGAAGAAGGCCUUCGGGUUGUAAAGCACUUUCAGUGGGGAAGAAAGCCUUGGGGCUAAUACCCUCGAGGAAGGACAUCACCCACAGAAGAAGCACCGGCUAACUCCGUGCCGGCAGCCGCGGUAAUACGGAGGGUGCGAGCGUUAAUCGGAAUUACUGGGCGUAAAGCGCGCGUAGGCGGUCUGAUAAGCCGGUUGUGAAAGCCCCGGGCUCAACCUGGGAACGGCAUCCGGAACUGUCAGGCUAGAGUGCAGGAGAGGAAGGUAGAAUUCCCGGUGUAGCGGUGAAAUGCGUAGAGAUCGGGAGGAAUACCAGUGGCGAAGGCGGCCUUCUGGACUGACACUGACGCUGAGGUGCGAAAGCGUGGGUAGCAAACAGGAUUAGAUACCCCGGUAGUC
rnacentral:rRNA from 1 species